AACUUAACUAUGACCCUAUAAAAAAUUUAAGAUUUCAUUUCACAUAUACUAUGAAUAUUAUUAGUAUUAUUAUUAUCAUAUGAUAUGAUGAUAACAAAUUAGUGAAUGAUGACCCUUCUUUGUCUUCUUAGCUUCUUCAUCAACUCACUUUUCAACCCCUAAAACCCAUUUCCAUCACACUAAUUUUUCACCUCUUCAAUUUCUCAAUCUUGUUUAUCUCUCUUUGAUUGAAUCAUCAUCUCAUCACAUAUUGAAUUUAAAUUCGAACAAGAAGCAAACAAAUCUCAUUUUGGGAAUUUGAUCCAUCUGGGCACCGACAGAAUUUGAUAUUUUUCUGUGCUUAGAUCACUUCAAAGUUACAACCUUUUCGAGAUUUUGAAUUCUGGGUCGUUUGAAUCUCGGUUAAUUACUGGCAGACACUUAUCGGAGAGGUUGCCUGAGGUGUUAACCAUGGAGCGGAUUGCUCGAGUACAUGGCAUCUCUUUUGGAGGUAAAUAUUUGAUUUCUUUUGUGUGAAAAUUGAAUUCUAUUGUGAUGACAACAAUUCGGUGAUUGUUUGAAGAUUAUUGUUGUCUUGUUAUUUAUUAAUGUUUACGUAUGUAACGUAUGUAACGUGUUGUAUAUCUGCUUCACGUAGAAGUAUGGUUCUGAAUAGAAUAUUAGGGCAAAAGUUGAUUAAUGUAGCCGACCCCAUUUAGUGCGAUAAGGCUUCGUUGUUGUUGUUGUUUGUAUCUGCUCCAUGUUUAUGGACUUAUGUAUACCCUUGAGUAUAGUACUUUCAAUAUUGUCUUUUCCACUAUGAAAUCUGAGGUUAUAGUUGUGUCGCGAUCUUUGAUAUCGCAGAAACUCACAGCCAAAUGCUUGAUUUUUGGUUAUGAAGGAGCCGUUGGUUUAGAUUGUGGUCCGCAGCCUGUUUAUGGAAGUUGAACUAAUCGUCAAAUUCAGUGUGUUGUCAAAUAGAUGUUAUAUCGCGUAGCGACAUUUUAACAUUCGGGAUAUGCGAUUUAGUACAGUUUUGUCGGAUUGCGGUUAUAACAGCACUAUGGCAUGUAGCGUAGCAGAAUUAUAACUCUUAUUUUCUGUGUUUUUUAUGAUUCACGAUUGUCAACACUGAUCGAAUUCGAAGGAAACCGACUGCAUUUUUUUCUCUGAAACUUUGGUUGAAAAGUAUUAUCUUCUUAUUUAAGUUGUUCCUUGAAAACUUGCAAUAUUCACCUGUUUUUUCAAUUGCACUCUGCAGCUAUUCUGUUAUUUUUUUCCAAUAACUACUUCAAUGUUAAGGUUGAAGAUAUAUAUCUCCUUGGUUGAAUAGUUCA